rnacentral:rRNA from 1 species
UGGGGAAUAUUGCACAAUGGUGGGAACUCUGAUGCAGCGACGCCGCGUGAACGAAGAAGGCUUUCGAGUCGUCAAGUUCUUUUAUAUGGGAAGAUAAUGACGGUACCAUAAGAAAAAGCCCCGGCUAACUACGUGCCAGCAGCCGCGGUCAUACGUAGGGGGCUAGCGUUGUCCGGAAUCACUGGGCGUAAAGGGUUCGCAGGCGGAAAUGCAAGUCAGGUGUAAAAGGCAGUAGCUUAACUACUGUAAGCAUUUGAAACUGCAUAUCUUGAGAAGAGUAGAGGUAAGUGGAAUUUUUAGUGUAGCGGUGAAAUGCGUAGAUAUUAAAAAGAAUACCGGUGGCGAAGGCGACUUACUGGGCUCAUUCUGACGCUGAGGAACGAAAGCGUGGGUAGCAAACAGG